GUAACGGCGAGUGAAGCGGCAACAGCUCAAAUUUGAAAUCUGGCUCUAGGGCCCGAGUUGUAAUUUGAAGAGGAUGUUUCUGGCAAGGUACCUUCUGAGUUCCCUGGAACGGGACGCCAUAGAGGGUGAGAGCCCCGUCUAGUUGGUCGCCGCGCCUCUGUGAAACUCCUUCGACGAGUCGAGUAGUUUGGGAAUGCUGCUCAAAAUGGGAGGUAUACGUCUUCUAAAGCUAAAUACCGGCCAGAGACCGAUAGCGCACAAGUAGAGUGAUCGAAAGAUGAAAAGCACUUUGAAAAGAGGGUUAAAUAGUACGUGAAAUUGUUGAAAGGGAAGCGCUCAUGACCAGACUUGGGCCGGUUGAUCAUCCAUCGUUCUCGGUGGUGCACUCUGCCGGUCCAGGCCAGCAUCAGUUUGCCCUGGGGGAUAAAGGCUUCGGGAAUGUGGCUCCCUCGGGAGUGUUAUAGCCCGUUGCGUAAUACCCUGCGGCAGACUGAGGUCCGCGCUCUGCAAGGAUGCUGGCGUAAUGGUCAUCAGCGACCCGUCUUGAAACACGGACCAAGGAGUCGUCUUCGUAUGCGAGUGUUCGGGUGUCAAACCCCUACGCGUAAUGAAAGUGAACGUAGGAGAGAGCUUCGGCGCAUCUCCGACCGAUCCUGAUGUUCUCGGAUGGAUUUGAGUAAGAGCAUACGGGGCCGGACCCGAAAGAAGGUGAACUAUGCCUGUAUAGGGUGAAGCCAGAGGAAACUCUGGUGGAGGCUCGCAGCGGUUCUGACGU
rnacentral:rRNA from 1 species